rnacentral:lncRNA from 1 species
CUGAGUCUCCGCAGUAGGGACCGAGAUCAAUCCAGACUCUGACGUCCCUGCCAGGGCCUUCCAGGACUUGCUGACCGCUGUCUGCUGGUCCUCCCACUGGAGGUCAGCGUACGUAGCGGACAUGGACUCCCAGGUAAAAACCCGGCCUGGGUCAUUUCAUAAGACCUUUUCCUAUUGGUCAUGUUCACAAUAAUCCUUUUCCUAUUGGUCAUGUUCAAAAUGACCUUUCCUAUUGGUUCAUGUUCACAAUGACCUUUUUUCCUAUUGGUCAUGUUAACAAGACCUUUUCCUAUUGGUCAUGUCACAAUGACCUGUUCCUAUGGUCAUGUUCACAAUGACUUUCCCUAUUGGUCAUGUUCACAAUAACCUUUUCCUAUUGGUAGAUGUUCACAAUGACCUUUUCCUAUGGUCAUGUUCACAAUGACUUUUCCUUUGUCAUGUUCACAUGACCUUUUCUCCUAUUGGUCACGGUAACUGACCUUUUUCCUAUUGGUCAUGUUCACAAUGACCGUUUUCCUAUUGGUCAUGUUCACAAUGACCUGUCUAUGGUCAUGGUCACAAUGCACCUUUUCCAUUGGUCAUGGUCACAAUGACCUUUUCCUAUUGGUCAGGGUCACAUGACCCUUUUCCUAUGGGCAUGGUCACAAUACCUUUCCUUUGGGCAUGUCACAAUGACCUUUCUAGUGGUCAUGGUCACAAUGACCUUUUCUAUUGGUCAUGGUCACAAUGACCUUUUCCUAUGGGUCAUGGUCACAAUGACCUUUUCCUAUUGGUCAAGUACAGAGACUACCGAGCCGCCUUUAUCCUCCAUCUACCUCCUACCCUCUUUAUCCCUGCAUCAACAUCCAUCUC